GUGCUCACUUCAGCAGCACACAUGCUAAAAUUUGAAUGAUACAGAGAAGAUUCAGCAUGGCCCCUGCACAAGGAUGACAUGCAAAUCUAUGAAGGGUUCCAUGUUUUA
rnacentral:snRNA from 1 species